rnacentral:rRNA from 1 species
AGAGUUUGAUCCUGGCUCAGGAUGAACGCUAGCGACAGGCUUAACACAUGCAAGUCGAGGGGCAGCACAGGUAGCAAUACCGGGUGGCGACCGGCGCACGGGUGAGUAACGCGUAUGCAACUUACCUAUCAGAGGGGGAUAACCCGGCGAAAGUCGGACUAAUACCGCAUGAAGCAGGGAUCCCGCAUGGGAAUAUUUGCUAAAGAUUCAUCGCUGAUAGAUAGGCAUGCGUUCCAUUAGGCAGUUGGCGGGGUAACGGCCCACCAAACCGACGAUGGAUAGGGGUUCUGAGAGGAAGGUCCCCCACAUUGGUACUGAGACACGGACCAAACUCCUACGGGAGGCAGCAGUGAGGAAUAUUGGUCAAUGGCCGAGAGGCUGAACCAGCCAAGUCGCGUGAGGGAUGAAGGUUCUAUGGAUCGUAAACCUCUUUUAUAAGGGAAUAAAGUGCGGGACGUGUCCCGUUUUGUAUGUACCUUAUGAAUAAGGAUCGGCUAACUCCGUGCCAGCAGCCGCGGUAAUACGGAGGAUCCGAGCGUUAUCCGGAUUUAUUGGGUUUAAAGGGUGCGUAGGCGGCCUUUUAAGUCAGCGGUGAAAGUCUGUGGCUCAACCAUAGAAUUGCCGUUGAAACUGGGGGGCUUGAGUAUGUUUGAGGCAGGCGGAAUGCGUGGUGUAGCGGUGAAAUGCAUAGAUAUCACGCAGAACCCCGAUUGCGAAGGCAGCCUGCCAAGCCAUGACUGACGCUGAUGCACGAAAGCGUGGGGAUCAAACAGGAUUAGAUACCCUGGUAGUCCACGCAGUAAACGAUGAUCACUAGCUGUUUGCGAUACACUGUAAGCGGCACAGCGAAAGCGUUAAGUGAUCCACCUGGGGAGUACGCCGGCAACGGUGAAACUCAAAGGAAUUGACGGGGGCCCGCACAAGCGGAGGAACAUGUGGUUUAAUUCGAUGAUACGCGAGGAACCUUACCCGGGCUUGAAUUGCAGAGGAAGGAUUUGGAGACAAUGACGCCCUUCGGGGUCUCUGUGAAGGUGCUGCAUGGUUGUCGUCAGCUCGUGCCGUGAGGUGUCGGCUUAAGUGCCAUAACGAGCGCAACCCUUGCCACUAGUUACUAACAGGUAAAGCUGAGGACUCUGGUGGGACUGCCAGCGUAAGCUGCGAGGAAGGCGGGGAUGACGUCAAAUCAGCACGGCCCUUACAUCCGGGGCGACACACGUGUUACAAUGGCGUGGACAAAGGGAAGCCACCUGGCGACAGGGAGCGAAUCCCCAAACCACGUCUCAGUUCGGAUCGGAGUCUGCAACCCGACUCCGUGAAGCUGGAUUCGCUAGUAAUCGCGCAUCAGCCAUGGCGCGGUGAAUACGUUCCC